CCUUCUUGCCGCGGUCAAUGAGCUUCUGCAGUCUGUUGACUUGAGUCAUCCACUGGUUGUCUUCAUCAUACACACCUGGUGGAGGAAGAGCAGCAGAUGGGAGGAAAACAGAUGGAAAAAUACAGAGCCAAUAGAAGGUACGUGUCUGAG